UACGGAGGAUGCAAGCGUUAUCCGGAUUUAUUGGGUUUAAAGGGUGCGCAGGCGGCGCGAUAAGUCAGCGGUGAAAUGUACCGGCUCAACCGGUGAGCUGCCGUUGAUACUGUCGUGCUUGAGUGCGAGCGGCGCCGGCGGAAUGUGUGAUGUAGCGGUGAAAUGCAUAGAUAUCACACAGAACACCGAUCGCGAAGGCAGCUGGCGAGGACGUUACUGACGCUGAGGCACGAAAGCGUGGGGAUCAAAC
rnacentral:rRNA from 1 species